AUGCUGCUGCUUUGGAAAAAUGUCCUGUAUCGCAGGAGACAGCCGAUCCAGCUCUUGGCGGAGUUGCUGGGGCCUCUGUUUCUCUUCUUCAUCUGGUGGCUGUAUGCCACUCCCACCCCCGACUGGAGCAACAUGAGUGUAAGCCCCCCCCACCCCACCCACCCCCCGCCCAGGGACCAGGCCCUUUGCGGGGGAGAGGGGAGGCACUGGGUCACCCUAUCCACAGGGUCCCGUGAGCGUCAGAGAGCGCGAGUCUGCGUGAGCACUCUGUCCGCGAGGGUGCAGACACGAUGGGGGUGCAGGCAAAGCUCCCCACGCCCAACGUCCCCACAGGCCACUUCCCCAACAAGCCGCUGCCCUCGGCCGGCACCCUACCCGGCUCCAGGGUCUCAUCUGCAGCAUGAACGACACCUGCUUCCCGCAGUCCGCGCCCGCCAAGCAGCCAGGUGUCCUCAGCAACUUCAAGGACACCCUGUGAGCAAGCGGGGGUGGGUGCGGCAGCCACAGGCACGAGGGUGUCUGCCGAGCCUCCACCUGGUGCUCUCUCUGCCCCCAGCGUCCUCUGGCUCCUGGCAGAUGCCCACACCAUCCUUGGGGGUGGGGGACGAGAGCCCACAGGAUGCUGGCCAGCCUGGGAAGGCUAACGCCAAUGCUGAGAGCGGCGGGCGGGGCAGCCCGGCCUCUCCCAAGCGACCGGCUGCGGGACCGUCUGCCCCUGACCACUGA
rnacentral:lncRNA from 1 species